GAAUAUGAAAGGUUCAAUCUACUUCACAUUUUUGAAGACUAUUUCAGUGUUCCCCCUAAGAUACUCAUCUCUUGGAAAACGGUAAAUGAAUGUGCUAAAGGUUAUUCAUAUUAUCAGUUACAGUUAUAAAGCAAUGGAAUUAUUUGGGAAUAAGAGCUGGUGGGGUUACAAUAUCUUGUUUUAAUAUCUGUACAUGGGAUAUUUUCACUUUUUUUCCUCCUGCAGAAUUUUCACAUCUUCAAACUUAUACUCUCCUUUUUAUUGAUUUUUGUCAGAAGUUUCUUUAUGUAACAUUACCAAAAAGACAAUGGGUUGUACCAUCUUCAAAAUUUCAGAUCAUCUCAUCUGUCCAUAAUGGCAUCUGUCACUGCAUUGGUUUCCAAGUCAAGCAGUGGGUGAACUUUCCAGCCUUCUCAAAAAAAUGUCCCAAAGGCUGUUUUAAUUCCAUCUGGAAUUAGAGUAUGCCAGUGCCAUGGAGGAAGCAGUUUUUCUUCUUUCUCUUCUCCCUAAAUGUGGUCACUCCCACACCCUCAGGUGAGCUACUUGCCGUUGGCAGGCAUCAUUCUUUCCUUUGCCAUGGCUCAUGUCAGUACAGCCAAAAUACCUGCCACAGGAAUUCCUAGCCAGGAUACUGGAAAUGACUUAUCAGAAUCUGGGCUGCCUUAGAUUGGAAUCAAUGGCUCACAAAACCGUGGAAACUCAGAAUCACGGAACAAUAGAACCUGGGAGCAGACUGUACAGGGAGUUAACAAUGUAAUUUCUUGAAGUUAAAAAGACAUCCUUGGCUGAGCGCAGUGGCAAACGCCUCUAAUCCUAGCACUUUGGGAGGCCAAGGCGGGUGGAUCACUUGAGGUCAGGAGUUUAAGACCAGCCUGGCCAACAUGCUGAAACCCCAUCUCUACCAAAAAUACAAAAAUUAGCCGGGCAUGGUGGUGCGUGCCUGUGGUCCCAGCUACCCAGGAGGCUGAGGCAAGAGAAUCGCUGGAACCCAGGAGGCAGAGUCUGCAGUGAGCCAAGAUUGUGCCACUGCACUCCAGCCUGGGCAACAGAGUAAGACUCCGUCUCAAAAAAAAAAGUCAUCUUUUCUGAUAAUGAAGAAUAUUUUCCUUCUUAUACACCCUUAGUUUAGAAAUGUGGAGAGGCGUGUUUUCCCAUAAAGAACAAGCCUGUUAAUAUUUGUUGGUUGCUGAUAUUAUACAGUCCUGGUGAAUUUUUCCUCUUCAUUGCUAGAUCCAGCCCCCAAAGAAGAGGUAUGAUUGUCCUGAAACUACGAUACUUUGAAGGAACUCUGAGAGAGCCACUUGGAGAGGCUACAUGAGGGAGUACAAAAGGGCUCUAAAUGACAGCCCCAUGUAAAAUCCCAGCCUAUAGCAAGGACCAACUGCCACCAUCGUACACAUUCCAAAUCAGUUGAACCUCCAGUGAGCCAUCUUGGAUAUUUCAAACCACUGGAGCCUUCAGGUGACUGAGGUUAUAGCUCCCACCACAUAGAGAACUACCUAGGUGAGGCCAACUAAAUCACAGACUCAUGAACAGCAAUAAAUACUUGUUACUGAUUGAAGCCA